GGGAGGAGUGACUUACCGGGCCCCACCAACGCACCCCGCACCCGGCCUGCGUCUGACGGUACCUUACCAGAAAGUCCCCGCUAACUAUGUGCCAGCAGCCGCGGUAAUACAUAGGUGGCGAGCGUUAUCCGGAUUUAUUGGGCGUAAAGAGUGCACAGGUGGUUUAUCAAGUCAGGUGUUAAAGCCCGGAGCUCAACUCCGGUUCGCAUCUGAAACUGAUAGACUAGAGUAUCGGUGGGGUUAGUAGAAUUCCAUGUGUAGCGGUGGAAUGCAUAAAUAUAUGGAGGAAUACCAGUGGCGAAGGCGGCUAACUGAACGAUAACUGACACUUAAGCACGAAAGCGUGGGGAGCAAAUAGGAUUAGAUACCCUAGUAGUCCACGCCGUAAACGAUCCACACUAGCCGUCGCGGUUGCGCGGUGGCACAGCUAACGCAUUAAGUGUGGCGCCUGGGUAGUAUGCACGCAAGUGUGAAACUCAAAGGAAUUGACGGGGACCAGCACAAGCGGUGGAGCAUGUGGUUUAAUUCGACGAUACGCGAAGAACCUUACCUACACUUGAAAUGCUUGGCAAAGCUAUGGAGACAUAGUAGAGGCUAACCAAUGCACAGGUGGUGCAUGGUUGUCGUCAGCUCGUGUCGUGAGAUGUUUCGGUUAAGUCCGGCAACGAGCG
rnacentral:rRNA from 1 species